GUCAGCAGUGCUAAAAGAAAUUGCACUGUCUGAAGAGAGUAACAGUGGUAAGAGUGAUACUGAAAUGAUUGCUAUCACCCUGAAAUUCUUCUUCAGUGCCUGUGGCCACAAAGCUGGCUUCUGUUUACACCAUUCCUUGGAGGUGCCCUGCUGCACUCUUUUUUGGAGGCGAAUGGGUCAUUCUAGAGCUUCCCUAGUAAUCCAGCAUUAGCAGAAGCAUUGUCCUCAUGAGCUAUCACCACUCCUUGAUGACCAAAACCAGCCAACAAUGAGGGAUGUUUUGGCUCCAGGAAUGAGAAAAGCUGAUGUGACCUAAAUCAGGCUUUCCUCCUGCUCCCAUCCUUCCAGUUUGAGUAAACAGCAGUGGAUGUGACUGAGCGCACAUAUGGUACCUCAUCAACGCCUCUUCUCUGCUCCAGGUUGUAUUCUACCUUCCCCAGAGGUACUCACAUGUUCCCAGCAGUCUCGUGGUAACAGUGACAGACAGUGGCUUGGAGCUGACUUGCAGCACUUCUGUAAUUGGAGACACACCUGUGAAGCUAUAAAUGUUACUGCGUCUGGGGAGAUUACUGCAAUCAGAGAAAGAAGGCCAUCAGCUCUCUGCAACCAUGCUGAACUCUGAAAAUGGAGGAGUAGCAAAGCGUUGGAGAAGGCACUACACCUGCCCAGAAAGAGGGCUGUUCUGUGGUGCAUGGUUUGCUGCCAUUUUCACACUCCCUGUUAGAGCCAAUAACUCUCAUCCACAGUGUGUGACCCUUCAUCUACUAAGAGUUUCUCUAAGAUUAGCCUGCUCUGCACUGAGCCCUAAUGGCCCAAAUUUCACCCCUUGGGUCCCUCUGUAGUGGUCUCUCGGGGGGGAAAGGGCUCCUUGACAGGCCCUGGAAGGUGAGUGUAGGUUAUCCAAGGCUCCUUGGUGUGCUCCAAGGUCUUCAGCGCCAUCUACUGCCACGCGGAACCAUGUCUGCCUUGCCGUCUCUAUAGGACACUGACGAUGGUGAUAGUGAUGACGACUGUUGCCCUGCAAAUCCUGUGGGUUGAGUGCAAAUUUUAAAGUAUGUUAGUGUCUGGAAACAAAACGUGCUGCUGUUUGCCUUUCAAAUUCAUAGAAAAGGCAAGAAAAAGCAAAUAACUCGAGGAGUGCAAUGAGCAAAAGCCUGGUCAAAUGUAAUAACUGGGAGAUAUGCUGCUGCUCUCUCUGAUCUCCUUCUGGCUCUAGGAUGUUCCCCACUGUCAGCAUAAAAUUAUGAGGUGAAGGCUGAGUAGGCCUUUCAGUGAAGGUCAGAGGGAAGCAGACAGGGUGGUUAUUGCUUUGGGUUUAUUGGUUUGUUUAAGAUCAGAUCUGAAGCAUUCCCCUCGUCAAGCAGCACAGGGGUGUUAAACCAACAAGUGAAAAGAUAGUUGUGUCUGAAGCAACAUAUUUCCCUACGUCAUGUUCUAAUCUUAGUCACCUUGAAGUAAAUCAGCUGAAAUCUGUGAAGUUGGGCUGGAUUUAUAGCAUAGUAUUAAGCGCAGAAAUUGGGCCAAUGUGUUACUUCUGGGUAGAAGAAUGUAGAUGUUCAGCCCAGGCCUGUAAAUAUCCAAUUUGUAGAGCAGAAUAGUAAAUCAUCUCAAAUGUUCUCAAGAUUUCAUCCACAUGACAAGAGCUUUGAUGGCCAGAUGCAGAAACAGCUCAGUUGAGAGAUGGUAUCAUACUGAAGCACUCUGUAGGCUACGUUCCUCCUCCAGUCCUCUUUUCUCUCUGCAAGAACCAGGUUAUUAACUUUAUAAAUUGCAGAAGCUCAGUCAAAUCAAUCCUACUUUGCCUCUUCUGUAAUGAAUCCAAAGAGCCAUGCAGAAGCUUCAGCACCUUUCAGCCCCAUCAGUCCACUUGUAGGCAAGGGAAAAGGUGAAACAUGAUGUGGAAGCAUUGUCUGUAUAUCUACAGUAGGGCAGUAAAAGUUUUACAACAUAAAGGAAAUGAGUAGGACUUGGAUAUCUCCUGGGCUGUUCCUGAUGCAAUUAGAGGUAAAAUCCCUAUCCUCAGCUUCCUUGCAGAAGAACUUGCUCUUGUUGAGGGAGUACCAUGUCUUCCAGACAUAUAAAUAACCAAAGUUAUUUCAGCAAUAUUUUUUGCUCCUGUGUUAGCCAGUGUCCAAGAAGCUAAGACACAUUUGUUUCAUCUAAUUUUUAUGGGUAGUCAAACGAAUAUUAAAGUUGAGAUUAUUUCGAGUUAAUGAGAGAGGGUAUGGGAUGGCUCCAAAUCACGCUUUUGUUGCAUUGUGUACUUUCAACUUUGAAUAUCUCUCUUCUGUUCCUUGAGCAGGGCACUGAAUCCUACAGGUGGCUUUGACUUCAGAUAACAUUUUUGGCUGAGAGAUCUAGAAGAGAUCUCAGCACAUUCCUACACCAAACAGACUUUACCAAGGUCUGAUAUCAUAGAAUCAUAGAACCAUAGGAUGACUUGGGUUGGAAGGGACCUCAAGGAUCAUCAAGUUCCAACCCCCCUGCCACAAGCAAGGCUGCCAACCUUCAUAUCUAAUACUCGACCAUAUAUGCUGUCAGACCCUCUGUAAAGUGGAAAAUAGAGGCAAUUAGUAUUUGAAGAAUUGAAUCUUGAAGAAAAAGAGAUUUGGUAGUAGAAUGUAAAAAUUGGAGAUUGAGCGCAUUAAAAAUUUUGCUUUGUGCCACCAACAGGCACAUAGGAGCACUGGUGGUCUGUGAGUUAAAUACAACCUCAGGAACUUUCGCAUGUUCUUCUGAUAAGGAUGUGAUCAGCAUGUUUUAGUAUUGUAAUGAAAGUGGCAGAUUAAUAUUAAUUAAGAGGUUUCCAUUAACGAAGGAUCAGAACACAGCCCAGCAUAAAUGCAACAGAGAUGCUUCUGUUCAGCUCCCGCUGAUGUUAUCAGACAUCAGCUUUCUGCUGCAGAUGGUUGGGUAAAUUUAAAGUGUCCUCCCCUAAAACAAAACAGAAUGAAAGGAAAAGAACUAAAAAUGCAGCAUGCUUUCUGCAGAAAUGAAACUCCAGUCAAAACACUGUCUCUCUCUACUGAAGAACAGUUCCAUUGACCACUUCUACUAUUGGUAUGAAUACUAAGAUUAGGCAGCCUUCCUGGAUUGGCUUGUGGGUGCAUAAUACAACUUGCCCAUUUUUGGUGUCCUGGUGUUGCCAAAGUCUACACUUCCCUUUGGCAGUCCUGCACCUUGGACAGCAGAGAGCUGAGAUCAAGGGUUCAUAUUGACCUUAGAGUGUCUCUGAUACCAAACAUGCCUAGGACUGAGAAGGACAGGCCUGGGGCUGAAUGAUUUCACUUUCCAGUGCUUCAACUGAGCCAGAUGCAAAACAGCGAUAAGGGAUUCUCGGAGAUCUUUGCAAAGUGCAUCACGACAUGGUUAUGUAGGAGUUAAUUAUUCUAAUUGUUAUAGACUUUUUACUACUAGUGAUUUAGCACAAAGGAAUCUACCUGAGGUGAUGGGCAAGAAACUUUGCAUAGUGCUUAGUCAGCAUGAUUUAGAGACAAGACAUACAAGCUCUGUUUUUGAAUCUGUGGCCACGACUCCUCCAAGACUUUGGCCAGGACACUUAAGCAUCUCAAUGGCUCACAUUACUCACAUGUAAAACAGUGUGCAUAUUGCUGAGCAGUUCAGGCAGGGAAUGAAUUCCUUGCUGAGACAGCCUUGCUGAGUGCCAGGAAAUGCAAAGAUGCUUAUCAUUUUCCUCCUUGUGGCUUCCAUUUGUGGUCUUGGCAUUGAUGUUGUGCUCUGGAGGGGCCUGUGAUAGCAAGUUUGAAUUUGGCUUAUAGCAACCAGCACGAGCAGAAGGAAUAUUCUACCUCUGGUAAAAUAUGCUUGGACAACUUUCUCCUAUUCUAAACAUGUAGAAAUGGAGAUUUUAAAAGCUACGUAAUGUUGUACACUCUAUCUUUCUGGGCAACUGAGACUUUUUUCAUAAAAUACCAUAGGAAUCAAGUUCACCUGAUGUGUCUGCAGGUCUGAACUAAGAUUGCCUAUCAUGUUGACUCUACCCAUGUGUAGUUUCCUAAGGACAUUUCUCCAAGUUGCUUCCCUUUAACUCAGUUUGAAUUAGUCAGACUGCAGCUUCUAACUGCCUUCAUAGAAGCAUAGAAUCAUUGAAUGGGUUGGGCUGGAAGGGACAUCAAAAAUAAUCUAGUUCUGACCCCUUGCUCUGGACAGUUAGCCCCACCAGCUCAGCCCAGGACCCCACCCAACCUUGCCUUGAACAAUUGCAGGGAUGAGGCAUCCACAGCUUCUCUAGGAAACCUGUUCCAGCACCUUACCACCCUCUUAGUGAAAAAAUUUCCCCUGCUAUCAAAUCUAGAUCUCUCCUCUUUUAGUCUAAAAACAUCCCCCCUUCUCCUCUUACUACCUACCUGUUUUAAAAGUUGAUUUCCCUCCUGUUAAUAAUCUCUCCUUAAGUACUGAAUGACCACAAUGAGGUCACUCUGGAGCCUUAUCUUCUCCAGGCUGAAUAAGCCCAGCUCUCAGCCUCUCUUCAUAGGAGAGGAGCUUCCAGCCCUCUCCUUUCCAGAGACAUGGUGAUUUUCAGAUCUAAGAAGAUAAACAUUUUCAAGCAAUGAGUUAAAACCAGCUAAAAUUUCCUUUGUGGAGAAAAGGGACAGAUUCAUAGAAUCAUAGAGUGGACGGCUUACAUUGGAAGAGACUGUAAAGACCCCUCUGCCAUAGGUAGGGCUGCUACCCACAGUCAACUCAUUCUCAUCUACCAUAGGUAGCUCUUCACUCUUUCCUAUUAGUUGUGCUUCAACUAUUUCAUUUUUUUUCUUUUUUCGUUUCCUUUAUUUAUUUACUUUUUAAAAUUUUUUGCAGGUUCUUUUCAGUUCCGAAUUGAUGUGUGAAGAACCAUAAAUGUAACCAAAAGUGAGCCAGAAGACCACGACUCUGACUCAGUUUUCCAAGUUUCUUUCACUGUGGCUUCAGAAUAGUGUCAAAGCAGAAGGGACUGUUUAUCUUUCUGUUUAUUUUCUGUUUAUCUAACAGUCAAAAGUGUGGCCUCUUGCAUCUUUAUAACAAAUCACACCAAAAGAAUGGGCAAAUGAGUCACAAGCACGGUGCAAAAUCAUCUGAUAGAGUUUCCAGUUUUUUUCAGCCACUGUUGAUAUUUAGAACAUGCUAACAUGGCUCUUGAAACAAUAGUGAAUAAAAACAAUUCGGGGAGAGGUGUGAUAUUUAACUUGGCCAGAGCCUUCCAAUAUUUCUAAAUCACACUGAGGUCCUUGGGUGAAAGAGAGUAUAAAGGCAAGAAUAUCAUUAUUACUAGUUUAGACUCUGCCUUCCAGGCAUGUGAAGUACCAGGAUCUCAAGGUCAGGGCAGAACGGAGCUGCACGCUAUGUGUGUAGAGCUCUGGAAUUUGAUCCGAGCUGCUAAUUAGAGGGGGGACUUUGAACUGCCUUGGUCAAUAUUUCCAGUCACAAGUUAUUCACAAUAACUGAAAAUGGAGUUUUAAAGCAUGCAGGUUAUCUGUCAGCCUGGGAUGAAAGGGCUGAAGUUUAAUUUCAAGAGGUUCUCAAAGACACUAGGGAGAAUAGCACUGUUCUUUGCAAAUUAAUCUCUUUGUAUGGGAAAAAUAAGGUAUGAUGAGAAUCAAAACUGACUUUUCAUUUGAUAAGUGAGUGGCUGAAUGCACACAGUCCUGACCCACAGUUGUAGAGCACAAGUUCAAUCCCUGUUGAAUGGGCAGGAGCUUAUUGCAUGGGCUCAGGGACUAUUGGAGUGCUAAUUUAGGGAUGUUCUUAGCCAUGAAGUGCACCCAUAUCACACAGAGACUUCUUUUGCAACAUUAAUUAAUGAAAAGGGAAAAAAUUAACUUUCUGUGGCAACGGGCAUCACAGGGUCCUUUCCAGCAGGUGCAGAGAGGUUACAAAUUUUCUGCAUUUCUGCAAAAUGUAUUCAUUUGUGUGAGAUCAGGGUCACCCCUGUGCCAGCUGCUGUUCCAGACUAGUUCUGCAUAAUGGGUGCUGUAGGAAGCACUAUGAGAGUGCAGUGCUUUGUGAGGAAGCUCUCUACCACUCGCUGAAAGGUGAUUGUGGUGAGGUGGGAGUUGGCCUCUUCUCCCAGGUAACAGUGAUAGAACAAGAGGGAAUGGCCUCAAAUAACAGGGGAGGUCUAGAUUGGAUAUGAGGAUGAAUUUCUUCUCAGUGGUUAGGCACAGACUGCCCGGGGAGGUGGUGGAGUCACCAUCCCUGGAGGUGUUUAAGGAAAGCGUAGAUGAGGCAUCGAGGGAUGAGGCUUAGUGAGCCUGGUGGUGGUGGGUUGAUUAUUAGAACAAAUGCUCUUAGUGGUCUUUUCCAACCUUAAUGAUUCUAUGAUUCUAUGAAGCUGAGACGGUAUGAGAGGUGACUGUAAAAUGCCAUGCCUCAUGGUAAAACAGUGAGUGUAACAUUCCUAGGAGAUAGAAACAGGGAAAGAAGAAAGGCACUCCCUGCUUGCAGUAAAUCCUUCUUGGACACUUGACCAAAAGGCUCAUAAGAGUGCAAUAGUAGAAAUACUUAAUUUUCAGUGGGAAUGGUGAUAUGAAUCUAAAUAGUCAUUUGCCUCUGUCUGUCCCUCUUGAGCAAGGCAGAAGACCUUGCAUGCACAGAUCAGAUUGUUCAGUCCCAGCCUCUUCUGUGGUGAAUGAACUAUCAGAUUAAGAUGAAAAGUAAUUGGCUGCAAAGUACAAAAUUAUUUCCUCUUCUGCAUUCAACCCGUGGUGCUCUGGAAUUGGUCCAGUUGCUUGCAUUUUAUGAAAUACGGGACUAAAGUUCCUGAUAGCAGGCAGAGAUACAACUUGUUCCUUGGAGAUAACCGACACGUGGGAAGAGAUCUUUAUGAGAGCCUUGUACAUGUUGUGUCUGCUGCAAGAAGCCUUAUUUGAACCCUGUACAUUGGUAGCAGGAUGCUCUUCUCAUGAGCCUGCCUUGCCUUGGGUCCAGAAGAACUCAGGUUCCCCAUGAGAGCUUGAUUACGUCGAUGAAGAACUUUGUACAAUGAAGCAGAGAACCCGGCGAGAAGAGAAUUAAACUUCACUCAUGCAUCAGUGAAAGAGGAACUGUCUGUCUGAUGACUUCUGGCAGUGCUGGCAGGCUUUUGCCAGAGCUGGUGAAGACAUUUAAGUUUCACUUCACUGUGGGAACUUUGUCUGUGGCUUGAGAUUGCCAUCACUAGCAAAAGUUAUUUUUCGAUGCAAAGCUUUUGGUGUCAUGUGCUGAAGCACAGCAAAAUUUAAUUUGUUCAUUUAUUUUUUUUUUAAUUAUUAUUUUUUUUUCUCCUGUAAUUGCAGCCCUGUCUGGGGAAAUGGAAGGCUUCUGGAGGGAAGGAUUCUGUGCCUUUGCACAGCUCUAAUCCUAGCACUGGUUGUGUCUGAUUGCAGAGCAGGAAGUGGGCAUUUUCAUUCUCCUGUCUCUGCUCCUCUUUUGUAGCUCUGCAGGUUGAGGGAAGAGGAAGUCCCUGGUUUACACUUCCUUUCAGGUGCAGCCUUUUGUAGCAUGACUCAUUCUGUGCUCAUCUUUGACAUGUAACUUUGCACUCACCAUCCCCUCUCCUCCUGCAGCCCUUCCAUGCCUGGCUCCUUCUGGACACCCAAAGCUGCACAAUGAGCCUGCCCUCCCACAAGGCAUGAAGUGCAUCCAGCUGCAUCCCACUGGCCUCGCUGUUUAGUCCCAUACAUUUGCACUGCUUUAUAUCAUAAGUCCUUGCCUUUUGUCAUCUUUUAAACUCUCUCUGACCCCUUACAAGGCUUAUUGCUACCUCAUGCGAGUUUCUGGUAGACUCUAGAAGUCUCUGAUGCUGGAUUAAGCAGGAAGGGUUGGCAUUAUUAGAAUAUGUGGAAAUGCAAACUUUGAUUAAAAAAAAAAAGAAUUCAGGUGUUUGCAGUUUCCUUUUUUGGCUAACUCUCAUUUUAGCUCAUUUUGGAGCACAGUGAAAACAAGAGGAAGAACCAGUUGUCUUUGAUUCUUUGUUAUAUUUGGUACAUUGAAAGUGAUUUUAAAAUUACCCCAGACUGGGAUUAGAGGAUCUUGUGGUAUAAUUCCUCUGAGGCCUAAGAUGGUUAAUGAUUAAACAAUAAAUUAAACAGCAUCGAGUUCUUUGAUGCAUUAGUGCCACAUGACUUCCAAUUGCUUUAAUAGCUUGAUCUCCCUGAAAUUCCAAUCUUAUCUUUCAUUACUGUGGCCUAACAGGAAGGGAAAAAAAAAAAAAAGCCAUGGGAGAGAGUAGCAGUAUUUCUAGUUGUUAUCUGAGAGUGCCAAAGCCUGUGGCAUGCUAUGUAUUACUACACAGUAGAAAACUGAAACCAGGACUUUACUGGCCAAAGAGGUCACCUGGCCAUCUAAGAGGAUCAAACACCCUCAAGGGGCUUUGCAGUGUUUUUAUUUAGUCUAGAUGACAUGCAUCUCUCUCAUCGUGUGAUCUUUAAACUAAAAUUGGCACCCUUAUAAUUGUGCUCUGUGGAAAAGUAGAGAGAAGAACAUGAAAAGAUGUCCUCUCCUCUGGCCAAACCAAGCCUUCAGGCCUUCAAGCAACAGUUGAUUGUGUGCUGAUGUUCUGCACUGAUCCAAAUUUAACUUCUACAUCCUGUGUGGCUUGCAGGUGCUUCUCCAGGUUUUUCACAGGGGCUGUAUGCCAUCUACAAGUACUUUCCAGAUGUUUCAGGUGUCAAAAAAUGUCUUGAAUGGUCAUGGCAGUGAUGAGUUGGACUUGAUCUUAGAGGUCUUUUCCAACCUUAAUGAUUCCACGAUUCUAUGAUAAAUGGCACUAGAUAUGUCUACGUUAAUGAAGAAACCAGUUGAGCUCAUGAAUUUGACCCCAUACAAUUCUACCAGGCAGAGAGAACUGAAGUGGGAUUUUUGUGUCUGCUUGGAAGAGCUGAUCAGUGGGCAGUGGAUGUGUCAAGGAAGGACAACUGAAGUCAGCAAGUAAAGGAGACUAUUAGUGAGAGCAGAAAGGAAGGGCAGGAGAGAAGUGGUUUGACAGAAAAACAAGGAGGUCUCUCCACUUGUCCUGCGGUUGCUUUCUCAUUUGACUUGUUUCUUGUUUCAAGCACUCAUGCUGGCAGCACAGCAGACCCCACAGAAGACUGGGUGGUUUGAGUACUGCGAUUAGAAACUUCCUUCCUGCCAGUCUAAUACAAAUUCAAAGGAGGACACAGCACAGAAAACACUGUCUGUGUUUGAUGCCAUCCUCGUUUACCAGAGAGUCAUCCUUGCUAUUUGAUGGGUCUCUAAGAUUCUGAAGUAUUGUGCUGAAAUGUAAAUGAUAAACGUGACAGUUAGAUAUGUUAUGAAAUGGCUGUAGUUGGAAAUUGUGAAACAGGACCUGCUGUACAGAGAAGUUGAAAUCUCGUGCUUGGAGGAUGCAGAAGAGUGAAACAGAGAUGAGUCUGGGGAAGUAUAAAGCUUGCAGCACAUCCUGCCCUGACUGCAAAGUGGGCUUUUCUAUCUCUGACAGCCAUCAUGAAGAGUGCAAAGCCAAAUGAAUAACAUACGUCUUUGGGAACAUGCAGGAAAAGAUGCCCGCCACAUUUAAUAUUGGAGAUGGCCAUAAUCUUACCCCAGUUUAGGACUUUGAUUCGCUUGCUUAAACUUGCUCCAGAUGUAAGACAUCUACAUGGACUUGACAGAUACAAGACAGGGUCAGCAAGACAACAAAGCUGCCAUUAGGAUUUGAUGCUAUAGGUCAGACAGAGUUCAUGUCAGUUGUCACUGCACACCUCUUGCGACUGGAUUUCAAUGUCAUUAGGGCAGUACAGUGAGGUUUUAAGGGCUGGAUCCACAAAGAAAACAAGUUGUGGGACCUCCAUUCAAACUCAGUCACUCACAGGUCGUUAUGGGUAUAAUCUGACUCACCUUCACCCAAGGAGAAGCACCUUUGACAAGUGGCUGCUCCAGCUUAAAACUUAGAGACUGUGUCAGAAAAUCAGUACAAACAUGCUCUCAAAGCCCCAGGGAUGGCUUAGCAGGUUGGAAACACAAUGUAAAAAGGCAACUGCUGCUCUGUACUGCUGUGCAUGAGGCUUGAACUUCAGCUUUGAAGACUGGGAACCCAAACCCCUCUCAAGCAUCCCAUGAAUUUUCAAAAAGAGAGAGCAAGAUACAGCUGGAAUUUAAUAAAAUAAAGCUCCUGUUUUACUUUAUUUUUCCCCUAGCUAAAUUACUUUCCUUAUUCAACUCAGUUUUCCCAGACAUUUACAUGCAGCAGCCAAGAGUCAUUUUUGUACUGCCCUGUUUCCACUGGCGGUACCUUGCUUCCAAUAGAAUCACAGCACAUUCCAUUAGUUUUCACACUCAUAGACAAUCACAUUUAUCUGUUCACUGCCCUUCAAUGGCAGGCAGCUUCUACUGGAUUUCUGUAUGAGGACCAUACCCCCUACCCACUAAUUGACAUUCAGCUCACAGAAUCACAUCAGUGCAGUGUGAUGGUGGAGAAUAUCAAUGCACGGAGCCAGGAGGGGGAAUGGGAAGGGAUAAGUUUAAAGUUUUUGGAGCAUUGCAGCAAAUGCAACUGGGACUUCUUGCAUCAAAGCCAUGUAAUAUGGCCGUGUGCCCCAAGCUCUUCUUUAAGGGUCUCAAAUGAUUUCUGAGAUGGACAUCUGCCCUUCAAUGCAUUCAAAAAUGAGGCUGGGCUUUGACAAAAUGAAUGCUGGAAACGUCUCUGCUUUUCAACUUAGGGUAAUGGGAAAUAGGGCAGCCUUCAGCCUUCACUGCACUCUGCUAGAUAUUGUCCUGGAUCUGAGGAUCAGAGGCUGAGAGGCAUAGUUUUACCUCGUGGUUAGAGACCUGGAUUGAUGCUAAAGAGAACUGGAUUUUGUUUCCAGCUAUGCCUUUGGGAUGACCACAGGCAUCUCAGCCCAUAUCUCUAUACCACGUUUUCCUUUUAGGUUAAAUAUUUUCCUUUGAAAAAUCAGGUGGGAUGCUGCCAAAAAAAGCUGCCACAAGAUUAGAUGAGCCCAAUUAUUCAUUUUAACAAAACUCAAAGUAUGAAAGAACGUAAAAUAUUUAAAAACCCAUGAGGAAAUUGUA